CAUUCGUAAUUCGGUACUAUCGAGUAGUUAACCAAUUAUAGAAGUUUCUGAUUAGACUAACCUUCAACUACAGACGACAUAAUCUAGCCGAAACUUUCGUCAGAUCUUGACAUGUGCUAGUAUUUCGUAUUUCAUUUUAAAAAUGAAACUGAUUACACGUCCCAACGACUUCUCCGGUUUGAAAAUUUUACUGGCAUCUGAAUUCCUAAAUCUUCCCAUCGAAUUAGAAGUUACGCCAUCAGCGGAGAAAACCGUACUCAUCGUCAAUGACGACUGCCAACUCUUCUCGUGUAACGCAGCUGUGUGGUAUCUAGCUUGCCUGAGUGGCCAAAACAAAGUCAAUUUACAGCAAGAUAAAUGGAUGGACUGGGAAAGUACAACGCUACAUCCUGAAAUUCAGGCUUUUCUGAAUAAACAACCCCAACAGCUCAUCCCUACUCUAGAACAUCUUGAUAAGGCUACUCGAAACAAAUUUCUCAUCGGUAAUUCUUUGUCUGCAGCUGACAUAGUCAUUUUCUGUUCACUAAUUGUGAUUAGUGAUUGCAAGUUCAUGGCAAAUUGCCCCAACGUAACCAAGUGGUUUAAUAAUAUGUACACAAGUGCUCAAUUCAAGAUUGCAGCCUCUAAAUUGGACAUCAAAAUUAAGCAGACAGAACCAGAUCAGUGUGAAGAGGAAGAGGCGGCCAUCAGUCUAGAAGACAUUGAACACGCAGUCAAACAUUGGAAAACAAGCAAUAUCAACAAACCUAAGCCAAUUACUCAUCCUGUGUUACCGGUUGAAGGGGAACGAAAUGUUCUAAUCACGAGUGCCCUACCUUACGUGAAUAAUUUCCCACAUUUGGGCAAUAUCAUUGGCUGUGUCCUCUCUGCUGACGUCUUUGCUCGCUACUGCCGAUUGCGGAACUAUAACACGCUGUACAUUUGCGGGACGGACGAGUAUGGCACUGCUACUGAAACCAAAGCAUUGGAAGAAGGACUGACACCUCAGCAAAUUUGUGAUAAAUACUUCAAGCUCCAUGAUGGAGUUUACAAGUGGUUUGAUAUCAGCUUUGACCAUUUUGGACGUACUACUACUCCCAAUCAAACAAAGAUUGCUCAGGAUAUCUUUCUGAAACUGUAUCGAAACAAUUACUUGACAGAAGAUACUAUGGAACAGCUGUUGUGUGAGCAUUGCAAAAUAUUUUUGGCUGAUCGAUUCGUGGAAGGUACUUGUCCCUUGUGUGGUUACGAGGAUGCCAGAGGUGACCAAUGCGACAAGUGCGGUAAGCUGGUUAAUGCCGUUGAGCUUAAGUCACCAAGGUGCAAGAUGUGUCGUCAUGCUCCUGUGAUCAAAACGUCAAAGCAUCUCUUUCUCAAUUUGCCUCUGCUUGAAGACAAAUUGACGAGCUGGAUGGAUAGUGUGACCAGUGGUUGGACUCAUAAUGCCCGCGUUAUUGCCAAUUCCUGGGUGAAGGAAGGCUUGAAGCCACGCUGUAUUACUCGUGACUUAAAGUGGGGCACCCCUGUCCCUCUUGAAGGAUAUACAGACAAGGUCUUUUACGUGUGGUUUGAUGCACCCAUUGGCUACCUUAGCAUCACGGCUUGCUAUACAGAAGAAUGGGAACGCUGGUGGAAGAAUCGCGAACAGGUCGUCCAUUAUGAAUUCAUGGCCAAGGACAAUGUUCCCUUCCAUUCUGUUGUUUUUCCGUCUUCGCAGCUCGGCACACACGAUCCGUAUACACUGGUCAAUCAUCUGGUUGCCACCGAGUAUCUCAAUUACGAGGAUGGCAAGUUCUCAAAGAGUCGUGGAGUCGGGGUUUUUGGAAACAAUGCCCAAGAAACUGGCAUUCCAGCCGAUGUCUGGCGAUUUUACCUACUUUAUGUCCGUCCGGAAUCACAGGAUUCAACUUUCUCGUGGUCUGAUUUGAUGGCCAAGAACAACACCGAAUUGCUUAAUAAUCUAGGCAACUUUGCUAAUCGUGCACUGAGUUUCUUGGAAAAAAAUUAUGGUUCCUGCGUUCCAGCCAUGACGCUAGGACAAGAAGAAAAGAUGUUGCUAGUCCGCAUCAACCGCGAAUUGAAGCAAUACAUCGCGCUCCUGGAGAAUGCGAAAUUGCGUGAUGCUAUUAAACCCAUCUUCAGCAUAUCGCGUCUAGGCAAUCAGUUGAUGCAAGCCGCACAGCCAUGGGUGUUGAUUAAGAGUACGAUAGAAGAGGAGAAGGCAAAGGCGGGCACAGUCAUUGGGUUAUGUGCCAACAUAAUUUGUCAGUUGUCGGUCAUGUUACUCCCAUACAUGCCGAACCUGUCUGCGAAACUCCAGGAACAACUCGGUGUCGGACCAGACAUCAACCAUUUGAUACCGGAAUUUACUUGCCGUCUACCUGCUGGCCACCGAAUCGGCAAGCCUGCUCCUUUAUUCCAAAAAAUAGAACAGGUCCAAAUCGAUGAAUUAAAGAAGCGGUUCUCUGGCGCCCAAGUUGGAUCUGCUUCUCCAGGGAAUCCAGCCGUUGCUACUCCAGCCCCUCCGUUGGCAGAAGCCUCAAAUACCCUUGAAACUCCAGAAAAUCUGGCUCUGAAAGUGGCCCAGCAGGGUGACAAAGUGCGCCAAUUGAAAGCUGCCAAGGCUGAGAAAGCUAUUGUUACAGCUGCUGUAGCCGAACUGUUGGAUUUGAAGAAAAGACUGGCAACUGCGGAAGAAGUAGCAACUAAGCAAACAAAUGACACACCAGCUGCAACGACCGAGAAGCCUACACUGACAAAUAGCGUUGAAAACCUGACCAAACAAGUUACCGAACAGGGAGACAAAGUUCGUGGUCUGAAAACCACCAAAGCAGACAAAGCUUCAAUCGAUGCGGCCGUCGCCGUUCUCCUGGAAUUGAAAAAACAACUUGCUCUAGCCGAAGGAAAAGAUCCGGCUGAGAGCAGUGGUAAUGCAACCGGUAAAAGCAAGAAGAAGGGACAACAAAAAUAGUUUUUGGUGGUAUUUUCCAACUACUCGGUCACGCUGCUUCUGGUCUUGGAGUAUACAAGCGUUCUAUUAAGGGAGGAAAAAAAAAAUACAUGGUCGGGAAUUCGGCGUCCCUGUCUCCCAGAAAAGUUGACGGAAUGAAAGAAUUUAUCGUAGUGGCUGUAGAACAUCAAAAAGAAAGACAACAAAAAUCCUGGACAAUUGUGCUUGACAAACUUGGAGGAUGCGUAUCAUUUCUAUUCCAUCAUUUAAAACCUGAAUAUAUCUCUGAAUUAUCGUAACGUGACACCCAGAUAGACACAUUUGGAUGUUUUAGAAAUAUUUCGCUGGCAGGUUACAUUCAUAGAUGGAUUGCCGCAAACCUGCCGCCACGACCCGAUGUUCCAUGCUGCCUGUUCCAGAGCAAAAGCCAGCACGCUCGGAUGCGUUUUCAACUCACGGAAUGUAAUCCUUUGGCCAUUUUAUAACGUGUUCAUAUUAGGGCCAAUGAUAAUGGGGGAGGUGAAACUCUCACGGCGACAGAUUUCAUGACCAUCUGCAGAAGAAAAAGGAUGAUGACUAGUUUUUAUUGAAAAUACCUAAAAGGACAAAAGUGACCAAACUUGGUCAAGUCGCCAAAUGAAAUGCACGAGAAAGAAUAAUACCGCCCUCAACUGAAAGUGUGGUUCAACUUUGAAUCUCUCUUUCCCAUUGCUGGCUGCCAUUUGAUAUGCUGGAUUGAUCAAGAAGUAACAAAUGAGGUUAAAUUAGGAAUACAACUAUGGAACUUGGCAUCGAUCAUGUCUACUUGUAAGAAAAAAUAUGCGAGGACUGG
rnacentral:misc_RNA from 1 species